rnacentral:rRNA from 1 species
GACGAACGCUGGCGGCGUGCUUAACACAUGCAAGUCGAACGGAGUGGCGAACGGGUGAGUAACACGUGGGUGAUCUGCCUUGCACUUCGGGAUAAGCUUUGGAAACUGGGUCUAAUACCGGAUAGUGCAAGAUGAGCUCGCUGCCUAUCGGCUUGUUGGUGGGGUAAUGGCCUACCAAGGCGUCGACGGGUAGCCGGCCUGAGAUGGUGGCCGGCAACAUUGGGACUGAGUUCCGGCCCAGACUCCAACGGGGGGUAGCGGUGGAGAAUAUUGCACAUUAGGCGGAGGCCUGAUGCAGCGGAGGCGCGUGGGGGAGGGAGGCCUUCGGGUUGUAAACUCCUUUCGACAGGGACGCGGUACGUGUAUAAGAAGCGCCGGCUAACUACGUGCCAGCAGCCGCGGUAAUAC